rnacentral:rRNA from 1 species
UAGGGAAUCUUCCACAAUGGACGCAAGUCUGAUGGAGCAACGCCGCGUGAGUGAAGAAGGUUUUCGGACCGUAAAGCUCUGUUGUUGGUGAAGAAGGAUAGAGGUAGUAACUGGCCUUUAUUUGACGGUAAUCAACCAGAAAGUCACGGCUAACUACGUGCCAGCAGCCGCGGUAAUACGUAGGUGGCAAGCGUUGUCCGGAUUUAUUGGGCGUAAAGCGAGCGCAGGCGGAAGAAUAAGUCUGAUGUGAAAGCCCUCGGCUUAACCGAGGAAUUGCAUCGGAAACUGUUUUCUUGAGUGCAGAAGAGGAGAGUAGAACUCCAUGUGUAGCGGUGGAAUGCGUAGAUAUAUGGAAGAAUACCAGUGGCGAAGGCGGCUCUCUGGUCUGCAACUGACGCUGAGGCUCGAAAGCAUGGGUAGCGAACAGGAUUAGAUACCCUGGUAGCCCAUGCCGUAAACGAUGAGUGCUAAGUGUUGGGAGGCUUCCGCCUCUCAGUGCUGCAGCUAACGCAUUAAGCACUCCGCCUGGGGGAGUACGACCGCAAGGUUGAAAC